rnacentral:rRNA from 1 species
CCUACGGGAGGCAGCAGUGGGGAAUAUUGGACAAUGGGCGAAAGCCUGAUCCAGCCAUGCCGCGUGUGUGAAGAAGGCCUUCGGGUUGUAAAGCACUUUCAGUGGGGAAGAAGGCCUUGGGGCUAAUACCCUCGAGGAAGGACAUCACCCACAGAAGAAGCACCGGCUAACUCCGUGCCAGCAGCCGCGGUAAUACGGAGGGUGCGAGCGUUAAUCGGAAUUACUGGGCGUAAAGCGCGCGUAGGCGGUCUGAUAAGCCGGUUGUGAAAGCCCCGGGCUCAACCUGGGAACGGCAUCCGGAACUGUCAGGCUAGAGUGCAGGAGAGGAAGGUAGAAUUCCCGGUGUAGCGGUGAAAUGCGUAGAGAUCGGGAGGAAUACCAGUGGCGAAGGCGGCCUUCUGGACUGACACUGACGCUGAGGUGCGAAAGCGUGGGUAGCAAACAGGAUUAGAUACCCGAGUAGUC